CCAGUUCUUAUCGGGUAUAUCAUG
rnacentral:miRNA from 2 species